AUUGAACGCUGGCGGCAGGCCUAACACAUGCAAGUCGAACGAGUGGCGGACGGGUGAGUAAUGUCUGGGAAACUGCCCGAUGGAGGGGGAUAACUACUGGAAACGGUAGCUAAUACCGCAUACCAUCGGAUGAGCCCAGAUGGGAUUAGCUAGUAGGUGGGGUAACGGCUCACCUAGGCGACGAUCCCUAGCUGGUCUGAGAGGAUGACCAGCCACACUGGGACUGAGAAACGGCCCAGACUCCUACGUGAGGCAGCAGGGGGGAAUAUUGCACAAUGGGCGCAAGCCUGAUGCAGCCAUGCCGCGUGUAUGAAGAAGGCCUUCGGGUUGUAAAGUACUUUCAGCGGGGAGGCGUUACUCGCAGAAGAAGCACCGGCUAACUCCGUGCCAGCAGCCGCGGUAAUAC
rnacentral:rRNA from 1 species